AGCGUACACGGUGGAUGCCCUGGCAGUCAGAGGCGAUGAAGGACGUGCUAAUCUGCGAAAAGCGCCGGCGAGGUGAUAUGAACCUUUGACCCGGCGAUGUCCGAAUGGGGAAACCCAGUGUGUUUCGACACACUAUCGUUAACUGAAUACAUAGGUUAACGAGGCGAACCGGGGGAACUGAAACAUCUAAGUACCCCGAGGAAAAGAAAUCAACCGAGAUUCCCCCAGUAGCGGCGAGCGAACGGGGAGCAGCCCGGAGUCUGAAUCAGCUUGUGUGUUAGUGGAACGGUCUGGAAAGUCCGACGGUACAGGGUGAUAGUCCCGUACACGAAAAUGCACAGGUUGUGAACUCGAAGAGUAGGGCGGGACACGUGGUAUCCUGUCUGAAUAUGGGGGGACCAUCCUCCAAGGCUAAAUACUCCUGACUGACCGAUAGUGAACCAGUACCGUGAGGGAAAGGCGAAAAGAACCCCGGCGAGGGGAGUGAAAAAGAACCUGAAACCGUGUACGUACAAGCAGUGGGAGCCUACUUGUUAGGUGACUGCGUACCUUUUGUAUAAUGGGUCAGCGACUUAUAUUCUGUAGCAAGGUUAACCGAAUAGGGGAGCCGAAGGGAAACCGAGUCUUAACUGGGCGUUAAGUUGCAGGGUAUAGACCCGAAACCCGGUGAUCUAGCCAUGGGCAGGUUGAAGGUUGGGUAACACUAACUGGAGGACCGAACCGACUAAUGUUGAAAAAUUAGCGGAUGACUUGUGGCUGGGGGUGAAAGGCCAAUCAAACCGGGAGAUAGCUGGUUCUCCCCGAAAGCUAUUUAGGUAGCGCCUCGUGAACUCAUCUUCGGGGGUAGAGCACUGUUUCGGCUAGGGGGCCAUCCCGGCUUACCAACCCGAUGCAAACUACGAAUACCGAAGAAUGUUAUCACGGGAGACACACGGCGGGUGCUAACGUCCGUCGUGAAGAGGGAAACAACCCAGACCGCCAGCUAAGGUCCCAAAGUCAUGGUUAAGUGGGAAACGAUGUGGGAAGGCACAGACAGCCAGGAUGUUGGCUUAGAAGCAGCCAUCAUUUAAAGAAAGCGUAAUAGCUCACUGGUCGAGUCGGCCUGCGCGGAAGAUGUAACGGGGCUAAACCAUGCACCGAAGCUGCGGCAGCGACACUAUGUGUUGUUGGGUAGGGGAGCGUUCUGUAAGCCGUUGAAGGUGGCCUGUGAGGGUUGCUGGAGGUAUCAGAAGUGCGAAUGCUGACAUAAGUAACGAUAAAGCGGGUGAAAAGCCCGCUCGCCGGAAGACCAAGGGUUCCUGUCCAACGUUAAUCGGGGCAGGGUGAGUCGACCCCUAAGGCGAGGCCGAAAGGCGUAGUCGAUGGGAAACAGGUUAAUAUUCCUGUACUUGGUGUUACUGCGAAGGGGGGACGGAGAAGGCUAUGUUAGCCGGGCGACGGUUGUCCCGGUUUAAGCAUGUAGGCGGAGGUUCCAGGUAAAUCCGGUACCUUUUAACGCUGAGGUGUGAUGACGAGGCACUACGGUGCUGAAGUAACAAAUGCCCUGCUUCCAGGAAAAGCCUCUAAGCAUCAGGUAACACGAAAUCGUACCCCAAACCGACACAGGUGGUCAGGUAGAGAAUACCAAGGCGCUUGAGAGAACUCGGGUGAAGGAACUAGGCAAAAUGGUGCCGUAACUUCGGGAGAAGGCACGCUGAUAUGUAGGUGAAGCCCCUGCGGGUGGAGCUGAAAUCAGUCGAAGAUACCAGCUGGCUGCAACUGUUUAUUAAAAACACAGCACUGUGCAAACACGAAAGUGGACGUAUACGGUGUGACGCCUGCCCGGUGCCGGAAGGUUAAUUGAUGGGGUUAGCGGCAACGCGAAGCUCUUGAUCGAAGCCCCGGUAAACGGCGGCCGUAACUAUAACGGUCCUAAGGUAGCGAAAUUCCUUGUCGGGUAAGUUCCGACCUGCACGAAUGGCGUAAUGAUGGCCAGGCUGUCUCCACCCGAGACUCAGUGAAAUUGAACUCGCUGUGAAGAUGCAGUGUACCCGCGGCAAGACGGAAAGACCCCGUGAACCUUUACUAUAGCUUGACACUGAACACUGGUCCUUGAUGUGUAGGAUAGGUGGGAGGCUUUGAAGCGUGGACGCCAGUCUGCGUGGAGCCGACCUUGAAAUACCACCCUUUAAUGGCUGGUGUUCUAACGUAGACCCGUAAUCCGGGUUGCGGACAGUGUCUGGUGGGUAGUUUGACUGGGGCGGUCUCCUCCCAAAGAGUAACGGAGGAGCACGAAGGUUAGCUAAUCCUGGUCGGACAUCAGGAGGUUAGUGCAAUGGCAUAAGCUAGCUUGACUGCGAGAGUGACGGCUCGAGCAGGUGCGAAAGCAGGUCAUAGUGAUCCGGUGGUUCUGAAUGGAAGGGCCAUCGCUCAACGGAUAAAAGGUACUCCGGGGAUAACAGGCUGAUACCGCCCAAGAGUUCAUAUCGACGGCGGUGUUUGGCACCUCGAUGUCGGCUCAUCACAUCCUGGGGCUGAAGUAGGUCCCAAGGGU
rnacentral:rRNA from 1 species